AUGGUGCGAGGCCUGCCAUGCCUCGACCAUGUGGAGCAGUUCUGCGACAUCUGCGUGAUGAUGAAGCAGAGACGACUCCCCUUUCCCCAACAGGCGAGUUUUCGGGCCAAGGAGAGGCUGGAGCUCGUGCACGGAGACCUGUGCGGCCCGGUGACGCCAGCCACACUAGGAGGUCGACGCUACUUCCUGCUGCUCGUCGACGAUCUCUCCCGUUACAUGUGGGUGAUGAUCCUCGGCAGUAAGGGAGAGGCGGCGGACGCCAUCAGGCGCGCGCAGGUUGGUGUGGAGGCGGAGAGCGGCCGCAAAUUGCGCGCGUUGCGCACUGACAACGGCGGCGAAUUCACGGCGGCUGAAUUCGCGUCGUACUGCGCCGAUGAGGGCAUCCAGCGCCACUACUCCGCGCCGUACAGCCCGCAGCAAAACGGCGUCGUCGAGCGGCGCAACCAGACGGUUGUGGGGAUGGCUCGAGCUCUCCUCAAGCAGAGAGGGAUGCCGACUGUCUUCUGGGGAGAGGCGGUGCUAACAGCCGUCUACAUCCUAAACCACUCGCCUACCAAGGCACUCGACGGUAGGACACCGUACGAGGCCUGGCAUGGGCGGAAGCCGGCGGUCUCCCACUUGCGGGUCUUUGGCUGCCUUGCGUUCGCCAAGGAGCUCGGUCACAUCGGCAAGCUCGACGACAGGAGCACUCCGGGAGUCUUCAUCGGCUACGCGGAGGGCUCAAAGGCCUACCGCAUCCUCAACCCAAAGACACAGCGUGUGCGCACGGCGCGAGACGUCGUGUUCAACGAAGGGCGAGGGUGGCAAUGGGACAAGGCGGUGGACGACGGCUCGACGCCGACGUACGACGACUUCAUUGUCGAGUACGUCCACUUCAAGGAAGCCGGGGGAGCAACCAGCUCCUCGUCGCCGGGCACGCCUACCCCGGCCCCCAAAACCACAUCGACUCCGGUGCCUGCUACGCCGACGGCACCACAACCGGCGACGCCGCACACUCCAGCCCCGGCAGUCACCACCCCGGGCUCAUCUUCAUCAGCACCAGCUCACGCAGAGCACAACCCGACGAAGUUCGCUUCUCCGCUCACUCACGACGAGGAGCGGAUCGACGCGUAUUAUGGCGGUGAACCGUUGCGGUAUCGUACGAUGGAAGAUCUACUCGGCGACCAGCCGGUGCCGGGACUGGUGCCACGUGACCUGGAGGCGCAGCUACAACUCGCGUGUGAAGACGGCGAACCACGGUCUUUUGCAGAGGCCGAGAGAGACGCGGCAUGGCGCGCCGCGAUGCAGUUGGAGAUGGAUGCGGUCGAGCAAAACCGCACCUGGGAGCUCGCUGACCUCCCUCGUGGUCACCGCGCAAUCAUCAAGCACAAGGCUCGCUUGGUGGCCCGAGGCUUCUUGCAACAGGAAGGAGUCGACUUCGACGACGCUUUCGCUCCCGUGGCACGGAUGGAGUCCGUGCGACUUCUCCUCGCGCUGGCUGCCCAGGAGGGCUGGCAUGUCCAUCACAUGGAUGUCAAGUCGGCAUUCCUCAACGGCGACUUGAAGGAGGAAGUCUACGUGCAUCAGCCACCGGGAUUUGCGAUCCCUGGCCAGGAGGGCAAGGUACUCCGCCUGCGCAAGGCUCUCUAUGGCCUACGGCAGGCACCUAGGGCGUGGAACGCCAAGCUGGACUCCACGCUAAAGAAGAUGGGCUUCGAGCAAAGCCCGCAUGAGGCGGCCGUCUACCGACGGGGCAGUGGAGGAAACGCCCUGCUGGUGGGCGUCUAUGUUGACGACUUGGUGAUUACCGGCACCAAAGAUGCAGAGGUGGCAGCGUUCAAGGAAGACAUGAAGGCCACCUUCCAGAUGAGUGAUCUGGGGCUCCUCUCCUUCUAUCUUGGGAUUGAGCUCACUCCGAUGGAGGAGAGGCUGAAACUGAGCCGCGACAGCAAGGCGGAGGAAGUGGAUGCUACGCAGUACCGACGCCUUGUGGGGAGCCUUCGCUACCUCGCCCACACACGGCCGGACUUGGCAUUCUUCGUCGGCUAUGUCAGUCGGUUCAUGGAGCGACCGACGUCGGAACACCAGCAAGCAGUGAAGAGGAUCGUCCGCUACGUAGCAGGGACCCUCGACCACGGCCUCCACUACCCUAGGUGUCCGGGGGCGGCACACUUCGUCGGGUACAGCGACAGCGACCACGCCGGCGACAUCGACACCAGCAAGAGCACGAGCGGGAUCCUCUUCUUCCUCGGCAAGUGUCUCGUGAGCUGGCAAUCAGUCAAGCAGCAGGUGGUGGCCCUGUCCAGCUGUGAGGCUGAAGACACCAGAACGGUGCAGCUCCUGGUGGACAGCAAGUCCGCCCUGGCCCUGGCAAAGAACCCCGUUUUCCACGAACGGAGCAAGCACAUCCGACUGAGGUACCACUUCAUCCGCAGCUGUGUGGAAGAAGGGAGCAUCGAGGCGAGCUACAUCAACACCACGGACCAGCUCGCAGACCUGCUCACCAAGCCUCUUGGGAGGAUCAAGUUCCUCGAACUCUGCUCCAGGAUCGGGAUGAUUCAACCCUCCCACAAAAUGACGUACAAGACUUAG
rnacentral:rRNA from 1 species